UACGUAGGGUGCAAGCGUUGUCCGGAAUUAUUGGGCGUAAAGAGCUCGUAGGCGGUCUGUCGCGUCGGCUGUGAAAACCCGGAGCUCAACUCCGGGCCUGCAGUCGAUACGGGCAGACUGGAGUUCGGCAGGGGAGACUGGAAUUCCUGGUGUAGCGGUGAAAUGCGCAGAUAUCAGGAGGAACACCGGUGGCGAAGGCGGGUCUCUGGGCCGAUACUGACGCCGAGGAGCGAAAGCGUGGGGAGCGAACAGG
rnacentral:rRNA from 1 species